UAGUUUAAAUGUAAAAAGCUGAAAAAUAAAAAUGGUAUAGUAAAAAAUAAACUAGUCACAAACUAUGGUUUUGGUUUUUAGGAGACACUUUGACAAGUGGACACUGGAAGGCCAAGUUGUGUGUGAGGAGAGCAGUCAGCCCACCUUCCUGUCUGGCCUUGCUGUUCACUGCAUACAUAAUCAAGGAGGCAUGCACCAUGGAGUUCAUUUAAAGGUGCUUUGUAUGUAUCAAUCCGGAGAGAGGAACAAAGAAGAAAAUUGCCAUCUUAAAUGAUAGGCCAAAUGGUACAGAAGAAACAGGUUGCAGUGAACCCACAUAUUGCAGCAAAGUGACACUCUUUGCAUCAUGUGAUGGAAAAUCAUCUGGAGCUGAAUUAUUCUCCAUUUUUGAUAAUAAGUUUGUUGGACUCACUUGGGGUCUUGUUGUUUGGACAUGUUUGUCUGGUAAUGAAGUGGUGAAAAUUGUCCGUAAACUAUUUUAUUAUGAUCAUGUUGGUUAACUUGUGGUUUCAAAUGUAUGUCGUUUGCGUAUUUCUUCUUUGUGAAGGGCCAUGACGGCUAAUUUGUUUCAAGUAA